GGACAAAAAAAAUUCAAGCUUCUGUAGGGAACCACUCUCUGUACUAUAUCUACACUGCCCUCCUACGAGUAGAUGGACUAGAGAUCACUGGCAUGGGCCGGCUGGAUGACCAACCUGUAGAGGUCUACAGCGGCAACAACCAGACCUGGGUGGCAAAAACAGAAUGAAUGAAAAACAACAUGCCGUCUAAAUACUGGCAAAGAGGAAACUGCACAAUGGAGAAACUAAAUCACACAGUGCUUGGCAUAAUGGAGGAUAAUUGUACGUGCAAUGACUCUGCUGUGUGUGUCCUCCAAUGGAGAGUGGGCUGUGAGGCAGACAAGCUGGCUAAUGAUUCGCUGAUGUUGGUGAAGCAAGUGGCGGAGUACCACCUGAACGGAGAGGCAGCUCAGGUCACUGACGGCUGCAGCCAGUGGGGGGCAGCACCCUUCCAACCCUCCCCUCCAGCUGAAGAGAUUCUUACAGGCACCAGAAACAUCAGCCACCACUUCAGUGAUUUCCCUCUGAAGGAAUGUGUGGAUCAGAUGAGAAAGUUCAUCAUAUAC